AGAGUUUGAUCCUGGCUCAGGAUGAACGCUGGCGGCGUGCUUAACACAUGCAAGUCGAACGAUGAUCCGGUGCUUGCACCGGUGAUUAGUGGCGAACGGGUGAGUAACACGUGAGUAACCUGCCCUUAACUCUGGGAUAAGCCUGGGAAACUGGGUCUAAUACCGGAUAUGACUCCUCAUCGCAUGGUGGGGGGUGGAAAGCUUUAUUGUGGUUUUGGAUGGACUCGCGGCCUAUCAGCUUGUUGGUGAGGUAAUGGCUCACCAAGGCGACGACGGGUAGCCGGCCUGAGAGGGUGACCGGCCACACUGGGACUGAGACACGGCCCAGACUCCUACGGGAGGCAGCAGUGGGGAAUAUUGCACAAUGGGCGCAAGCCUGAUGCAGCGACGCCGCGUGAGGGAUGACGGCCUUCGGGUUGUAAACCUCUUUCAGUAGGGAAGAAGCGAAAGUGACGGUACCUGCAGAAGAAGCGCCGGCUAACUACGUGCCAGCAGCCGCGGUAAUACGUAGGGCGCAAGCGUUAUCCGGAAUUAUUGGGCGUAAAGAGCUCGUAGGCGGUUUGUCGCGUCUAUCGUGAAAGUCCGAGGCUCAACCUCGGAUCUGCGGUGGGUACGGGCAGACUAGAGUGAUGUAGGGGAGACUGGAAUUCCUGGUGUAGCGGUGAAAUGCGCAGAUAUCAGGAGGAACACCGAUGGCGAAGGCAGGUCUCUGGGCAUUAACUGACGCUGAGGAGCGAAAGCAUGGGGAGCGAACAGGAUUAGAUACCCUGGUAGUCCAUGCCGUAAACGUUGGGCACUAGGUGUGGGGGACAUUCCACGUUUUCCGCGCCGUAGCUAACGCAUUAAGUGCCCCGCCUGGGGAGUACGGCCGCAAGGCUAAAACUCAAAGGAAUUGACGG
rnacentral:rRNA from 1 species